rnacentral:rRNA from 1 species
UAUGGUCAAGCGAAUAAGCGCACACGGUGGAUGCCUAGGCGGUCAGAGGCGAUGAAGGACGUGGUAGCCUGCGAAAAGUGUCGGGGAGCUGGCAACAAGCUUUGAUCCGGCAAUAUCCGAAUGGGGAAACCCACUGCUUCGGCAGUAUCCUGCAGUGAAUUCAUAGCUGCUGGAAGCGAACCCCGU